UCCCUAGUGGUCCAGUGGCUAAGACUCUGCACUCCUAAUGGAGGAGACCCAGGUUCAAUCCCUGGGCAGGGAA
rfam:Ovis aries breed Texel Tnplaced_Contig5336_fixed, whole genome shotgun sequence.